GGCCAAACUACGUGCAAAUCACACCUAAAUGGCGCAUGAAUAUAGUAGUUUUAAUAAAAAAAAUAUUAAAAUAAAUAAAAAUAUAUAAAUAAUAACAAAAGAUAAAAAAUAAUAAAAAGAAAAAUUAAGAUCAACACUUCCUCCCACCUCCUUCGUUCCCACCCCUUUUCCCCAUUCUUUCCGCUUCUUAUCUCAUCCCUCGCCCCAGCCUUUCCUCCCCAAGCCUCUUCAUUCUUUUCUUUAUUAACCUUUAAUUAGUUGAAAUAAGAGAUUUUUUUUUAAUUAAUUGAGUAUAAAGUUUUAGAGAGAAGGUAACCUACAACUCGAUUUUCGGCAUAAGAAAAUCGCAACAGUUUCUCCGAUCUGGUCCGAUGGUGAUGGAAAAUUUUGGACGAGGUUCUGGCGGAAAAAAAAGGCUCUCUUCUUCACAUUUAAGUAUUUGGAGUAUUUUUUUUUGGAGAAAAAAAAAUAGCGGCAGGGGUGAAAUGCCAUUUCUGAUCUGUUUUGUUUGUGCCAAUGAGCUUGGUAGGAAGGAAGUCUCGACGGACAUGGUGAUUGAGGUGGUUGAAAUCAAAUAAAAUAAGAUGUUUGGGCAGAGAUGGUGGCUAGAUAUUGAUAAAAUGAGUAGGCAACACGGAGAGCGAACUAUUCAUCGCCGACCAGAGACAUUACAAGGGAGUUCUCCGGCCAACUUGAGUUUAUUGCUGGUUUAUGAGUUUCUUGCAUGUUUCAAUUGUGGUGGGGAAAAAAAAAGAAGAAAAAACAGUUAAAAUUUUGACAAAUUAGAAUUAAAAAGGUGGGACCACAAAUUACACGUGUCAAAUUAUGAAAGGUUAAGCAUAUGACAUGUCAUUUGUGUCAUAGCAAUUGAGGAACACGCUCAAACCUAUGUGUUUAUUACUCCUCAUUAUAUGAAGUAGAGUUGCUAAAUUGGAAAACUUGUAAGUUCGUUUACCGGGUUGGCAAUUCGGUACAAGUUUAAGUUCAAGUUAGCACGUCAUAUCUUAUUCACAGUAUUGAUGUGGACAAUUUGCAUUUGUGAUAUUCGCCAAUAUGUGUUCUUCUUGACCCUUAUUAGGGCUGGCUCAAGGGGAGACUAGUAAAGCUUUGGCUUUAGCCCCAAAAUAUUGAGACUCCAAAAAAUUGUAUUAAUUAAUUUUGUAAUUUUUUUCGCUUAGAUAAUACUCUAUCCGUUCACUUUUA